UCUGUUGUUUCCCUUCUUUGCCUCUCAACUCUCUUUUCUUAAUUUCCUUCUCCACUCCCUUGUCUCCUUCUCAACACAAUAUGGUUUGUGGGUUAUCUCCCUCCUUUGAUAGUCAGCCUCUUCUUUCAGGGUCCAGAGUUUCUUUCACUUUCCAGUCCAUGGAUCUUGCAUCCGGAUCCACUCCCAAUCUGAUGGUAAUUCCCCCUCCUCCCAUUUUAUAUCCACUAGUCCUGCCUACACUUCCACCCUCGGCUUCCGUUCCUUUCCCGCCCAAUCUUCCUGGUCUCUCUGACCGUUAGUCUUUGAAAAUCCUCUUCUAUUGUACCUUCCCAGGGUCUGAUUCCGGCAGUCCUGUCUUUCUGGGAGGGGAAAUAGGCAUGGUUUGAACUUCUUUCUCCGCCCUGGGCAGGAAGGCGGCACUCCGGUGAGAAUGACCUUACUCUCACCUCCUGUCUUAUAACAGUAUUGCUGGGAAAAGGUCCAGGUCCAGAGACACAGUGGAUCUUCAUCAAGCCCAAUCAUUCCAUUGUCUACAAGAAACCCAUUGGCAUUAGAAGGAAAGCUGGCACGAUGGAAAUCAACGUUUUGAAAGACUCCAUUCCAAUCCGCUGUGAUGGUUUCUACUUGUUCUUCCUGGAGGGGACCAUCUCCCUGCAGGGAGCAAAGGCCCCACUGAUACUCAGGGUUUAUCGUGACCCUCAAGAUUCUUUCCUGAGUAUAAAUUGCAGUGACCAGAAAACGGAGGUGCAAGAAACAAUUGUGCAUGAGUUUCGUUCCAGUGAUGAAGUCUAUUUGCAAUACGAUGGAAAUGAAAACCCAAAGAAUGAAACCUCCAGACAAGACCUGACAUUGAGCCUCUUCAUGUUAACACCUCAUACAUAUUGUUAUCCUGAAAAGUAGAAGUCACGGAGUGUCUCGUAAACUCGCUACACACUAGGAGCCCAAGCAGUUGAGUACAAUGUCAAAACUGAUUCUGAAUUAUUCUUGUCCAACUUUGGCUCUCACUUGAUGUAUUUGAGAAGAAAAAUAAACCAGCCAGUUAACAGAGAAAUGGACAAAAUGCCUGCAGUUUGUUUGUUUCUCUCUGUGUUUCUGCUUUUAUUCUAUUAUAUGGCAUACCAUUGGUGUGGGGCUACUAUCUUGUUUGCUAGUCUCGGGAUUUUUUUACCAGUCUAGUUUCAGAUCCAGUUUUAGACUCUAUGACUGACAAAUUAUGCUGCGAAAUGGACAGAUGGUUUGGGUGUCUCUUGGAUUUUUCUGGACCUUUCAGUGGUAUUUGAUAUCACCAGCUAUGGUGUCCUUCUUCAGACGAUGGUUGUAAGCAUCAUUUUAUGAUGACUACAAAACUACUAGGUGAACAAAUCUCAGAAGGAUAUCUUUGAGGGAUUACUGCUUGGAUCAGUGGCUGAUGGCCCAUAGCAGGGAUGAGCAAACUGCAGGAUUGUGGGAUAUGCCUUGUUUUUUUAAAAUACAGUUACAGGAUCUGGUUUUGUAAAUAACAUGAAAUAGCCUAAACUCUGGUCUAGACUGAUCCAACUUCGAUGCCCACACUAUGCCCACACUAUGUACAUAUUUCCGUAGCCUAGAUAUUGCAUUUCAUGCAUCUGAAAAAGUAGAUCCAUGAAAACUCCUAAUGAAAUAAAUGUUAGUCUUAAAGGUGUCAUCAUAUUUUGUUUUUUGCUUUUGUUGAAACAGAUGAACAUGGCUACUUCUCUGAAAAGCUAUUCACCCAUAACAUUCAGCAUGUGCACGGCCUAUGUACACUGUACAUAGAUGGCAAAUCUGUAUGUAGGGAUGGCAAAUCUAUAUAUAAGGAGAGGUCUCUGCA